AUACCUCUCCAUAGGCAGUCGCUGUAAAAAGGAUAUUUCAGUGUACCUAUUCGAUGAAAAACGAUCGAAGACUGUGAUCCACCGAACAGCAUUCGCAACGGGGCGUACCAAUGUCGUUAAAAGCGUUGUUUCCUACGAGCCAUAAAUUGAGCAUUGUCUAGGAUCGUUAUUAAUCGCCCGCGUCAUAUAUCUUCACUAACGUUUGAGUAUAAUUAACGUUGGCAAGAUGGUCGAUCGCGAUUAUCGAAGAGAAACAAAUUGUCCCUGCAUCGACGGUUUGCGAAAGAAGUCGAUGAUCGGGAACCGAUCGGUCUCUAUGGAUCGUUAACGGCGCUCAAGGCGUGCCGAUAAUAUUUCAUUACGUUCGCGACCGUGCAAUUCGCAAUACGCGUUUUCCGCGGCCAAGUUCGUGUUCUACUGAUUUUUAUUCCUUCUUUCUUUAACCGCUUAAAGGAUAACUAUAUAAACUAACUAAAGGAUAAGGAUACUGGAGAGUGGUUUCCAACAGACACGAUGUUUUAAUUGAUCAGAUAAUCAGCUAAUAAUAGAAGAAAGCUGUGGACGAUCUUUAAGUGCUAAUCAGUGUCAAUGUCACUGGGCAAUCAAUAAUUCCAAGGUUAUUCUAUACUUCCUGACUCCACUUUCCAGCGAUAUCGAACGAUACGGAAAUUCUUCGGGACGUUCAUCGACGAAUCUCUCUAGCACAGAGGGACACGGAGAUGGAGAAAACGUAACGAUUCGGAGAAAUCGUUGGUUCGUUUCGUAUCUCCCGGCGGAGCGUAUUUUCUCGCGAGGAAGCGCACUCACGAGGCCCAGACUCGCGCGAUGUGUACGUGCCUUAAUCUUGCCGCGAGAUGCACAUCCGCCGGUACUCCUCUGCUCAGAUUGAAACACGGAAGCCCUAAGGCCAUGGUUAACGGAACAUGCAGACGCUUCCAAUACGACGAAGCCAAUUUCCUGGCUGGAAACGAAUACACGUUCGUCGCUCCAGCCGCCUCUUGCUUUUUUGCUGUUUUCAUCGUGUUACAAUUUCGCGAAUCACAGGAAAACGUAUGGUGAGAUCGAAAGUUGCGACAUAAAUUAAAUAUAAGCAGAAAAUUGCGACAGGAGAUUUUAUGCCAGAACAAACGUGCAUUUAACGUGAAAACGCGUUCUCGUUCUUAUUAACAUUUGUCGAUGUUUCUAACGCAAUGAGAUACGAAGGAAUAUCGAUUUUGCGAAAUCUCUGUCGCAUCAUAAUUACGACGAGAAUCGACCUCGAGCUUGAAUCUGUACAUCGUUAUUGUAAUAAUUUCAUCGUUUAAUACCGAUAAUAAAUACGCAACGAAAAUUAAUUAAUCGAAUAGUCUAAAACGCUUUGAAUUUGCAUGUAAUACCAAGUUUCCAAUUUGCAGCUCUGGCUAAACGAAUUUCGCGGAGGUCAAAUGGUCCUCUGCGUCCUGUCCGAUUAAAUUUAAGCCUUUCUACUAGCCAGGCGCGUUCGCCUCUUUUAAGUCUGAUUUAUUAUGCAUCGUUCCACUGACUCACUCGCCUCUAUCGAAAUUCUUCGAAGGAUCAAUCGAUAUGCCUAGCCUGAAAUCAACACGUUAACACUUUAUCGACCGUUCAGUGCACGUUUUACGUAUAUUUUAUACACGUUCGAAUAUGUCUUCGACUUAAUUGUAUUUUUAUAUUUAAUAAUAUUUGUUUGUGAAUUCUAAUCAAUUCAAUGUACAGGCGCAAAAUUUCAUCAAUUUUAUCGGAGAGAAUUUUCAGGAAUUUCCGCGAUGUCGAUGUGUGAUUUGGUCGAAAAAGAAGCUGGAAAAUCUCCAUAGAAAAUAGAGAAGAGAAUUUCAU